AAGAACGUUAUUAGUAGGAAAUGGCUAAUAAGUGACGGUACCUUACCAGAAAGGGACGGCUAACUACGUGCCAGCAGCCGCGGUAAUACGUAGGUCCCGAGCGUUAUCCGGAAUUAUUGGGCGUAAAGGGCACGUAGGCGGACAAAUAAGUUUGAUGUCAAAUAUGAUGGCUCAACCAUCAAGAGGCGUUGAAAACUGUUUAUCUAGAAUCUCGGAGAGGUAAGUGGAAUUCCAUGUGUAGCGGUGGAAUGCGUAGAUAUAUGGAGGAACACCAAUGGCGAAGGCAGCUUACUGGACGAAGAUUGACGCUGAGGUGCGAAAGCGUGGGUAGCAAACAGGAUUAGAUACCCCUGGUAG
rnacentral:rRNA from 1 species